AGUGAAAUGAUCGAGUUCUUUAAUCAGAUUGUUGAAGACUCAAAGUGCCGUGUGGUGGUGUUCUCGGGUGCCGGGAAAAUCUUCACUGCAGUGCCCAAAGCCCGUGGUGGUGGAAGUGCAUGGCGUGUGUGUGGGAGUAGGUCUGUUGGGAGUGUUAAGUACCAUCAUCUCAUACACACAGCAAACAAUAUGGAUGGAACUUUCCAGGGUUGUGGUGUCACUUUUCCUGCAAAGUUUUAACCAUCAGAGAGUUAUCUUUUACUGGGGCUUUCACUCUAUAGUUAGCUGCAGGAGGCCGAAUUACUAACAGUUUUUUUGUGGAUCUGAUUUCUUCUUUCGCAGGAGUGGAUCUAAUCACAGCCUGUGAUAUUCGUCUGUGCACACAAGAUGCCUGGUUUCAGGUGAAGUCGUCUGUUCCCUGAUAAAGAGUCAAUAAUUGCUGGAGCUCUGGAAAAUUGCUGGAGCUCUGUCCAGGGAACCAAAAUCAACCUUCUCUACUCCAGAGACCACAGUGUGACUGAGGGCCUAGACUACAUGGCUACUUGGAACAUGAGCACGUUGCAGACACAGGAUCUUAUGAAGUCAGCGCAGGCAGCCCAGGAAAAGAAGAGCCCGAAAGACGUGCUCUUCUCCAAGCUUUAAAGUAGAAGGAGAAGAUCCAGGACUGUUGAAGCUGCCUGUUGAAUCAGCAGUGGAACUGAGACUUCAUCAUCCACAUAUCUUUAGUUCUUCCUGCUAAGUCUGAAUUUCUUUUUAGUCUUUUUAUUUUUAGACUGGUCAAAAGACUGAUUAGUGGAAGUGAAAUGAUAGAUGAACUUUUAAUUAUUUGGUGCCUUGUAUAAUAAGACAGGGUAACUAAUACUCAAAAGCAGGUUUUGUGUGUUAACAUGUACAGUAGAUGUACAUAUUUUUUUCUGGUCCUGUGUGACUGCAGAAUGUAGUGCAGUUAACACAUUAAAUUUCCUUGGAUGCUCACUUUUAACUCCAGGAGGUCAGAGUUUGCCCAGACAUCUUUUUUUUAAAUCCAUCUAUCCGUCACCCACAUGUCAUUCUGGGGGAAGAAGAGGAGGAAGCUGGACAGAUACAUUUAUUUAUUCAUUUAUUAUUGCUGUGUUUCCUCAAUCCAGUGCAGAAAGAAGAGAAACAACACAACUGAUUUAAAAUAAAAAUGUAGAAAAUAAUCUAAUGUAAGGUUCUGAUCCGGUUUGCUUUCAGCAGGAAGGCUGUCCUUUUUCCUGUUGCUCUUUCUCUUCUAUUAGUCCAUUUGUCAAGUCUGAAUCGGUUUGAUUGUUUGAUUCGUUUCGAGACGAUUUGGAGUCAAAUAAUUUUCUAGUGAGAGUCGCACACUUGAAAAACGAACUCGACUGAGAUGAGCAUUUGAUUGAUUUGUUUCGAUUUGAUUCUCACUAGACAGUGAUUUGACUCUGAAUCAGCUCUAAAUGAAUCAGUCAAACUGAUUCAGACUCAAUAAAAGGACUAUGCGAUGUGAUUAAGAUAUAUUCCAAUAUUUUGCUUUACAAUUCCACUGUGUGUGUGCGCGUGUGUGUGUGUGUGUGUGUGUGUUUCAGGAGAAUGAGAAAAUCAGACACAAGAGUACAUCCUGUCCAUUGGUUCUGUGUACGCAACAUCAUCAACAUACACACACCUCAUGCUGGACAUCUCAGGAGCUUUCACACACUGUGCUAGGAAUAUCCUGGGACAGAGAAACGUACCUCCUAAGUGAGCAAGUUUAGCGUCAACCGGUGAAAUUUGCUGGAGCGUGAACGCUUCGCCUCCGUAAGCUUCACUCUCCGUCAGGUUCACUGUAAUUUAACAUAAAAUGUACAUAAUGUUUAUUUUUCAUACAUUUAGGAUUUAAUGUUUUUUUUUUUUACUCUUCGAGGAACAGAAAUGAUCUUUCGAGGCAGCUUCAUCACUACCUGCUCCGUUUGACUGAAAAAUGUAACGAAAGGAAAUGUGAAAUAAUUUUGUUCCUUUACAUUUCCUGUACUGUCUUUUUGCUGUGAUCUUGAACACAGUUGUAAUUUUAUUUAAAAAAAAAAUAAAUAAAUGAUCAUUCUAUUUCUUUCUCACUUUCCUUGUCUUAAUUGUCCUGUAUCUGUUAAAUCUGUUUCAUCUGUGGUCUUUCUGUCUGUAUGAACACUUGUAGAAAUGACAUGUAGUCCAUAUUUUUAAAUAUUUUUAUUCAUGACUUUGAAUUUAAAUAAGGACAUUCUUUAAUUCAGU